AGGCAGCAGUGAGGAAUAUUGGUCAAUGGGCGAGAGCCUGAACCAGCCAAGUAGCGUGAAGGAUGACUGCCCUAUGGGUUGUAAACUUCUUUUAUAAAGGAAUAAAGUCGGGUAUGGAUACCCGUUUGCAUGUACUUUAUGAAUAAGGAUCGGCUAACUCCGUGCCAGCAGCCGCGGUAAUACGGAGGAUCCGAGCGUUAUCCGGAUUUAUUGGGUUUAAAGGGAGCGUAGAUGGAUAUUUAAGUCAGUUGUGAAAGUUUGCGGCUCAACCGUAAAAUUGCAGUUGAUACUGGAUAUCUUGAGUGCAGUUGAGGCAGGCGGAAUUCGUGGUGUAGCGGUGAAAUGCUUAGAUAUCACGAAGAACUCCGAUUGCGAAGGCAGCCUGCUAAGCUGCAACUGACAUUGAGGCUCGAAAGUGUGGGUAUCAAACAGGAUUAGAUACCCUGGUAGUCCACACGGUAAACGAUGAAUACUCGCUGUUUGCGAUAUACUGCAA
rnacentral:rRNA from 1 species